GCAACAUUUACGCUAAAGAAAACAAGUGGGCCAGAGAGCGCUGGGUGGGUUUAUGCUUCAGUUUCAACAUUGGCUUUGCUCUCAUAAAAAAUUGGGUGGGGGAAAAUGUGACGCCCAGUCAGCGUCAGGGAGCCACAGGCUGAGGACAUGACAAUGGCGGCGGACGCUCGCCUCGCCUGAGCUGAGGAAAGAAAGCGGGAGCUGCGUGACAAACUCCUCAGCCCGGCUGACUCCAGAAAGGAAACCAUGAAUCCAGAAGAAGUAAGACAACACCUAAAUGACAGCACAUCCAAUGACAAGUUGUACUCCACGCUCCCAAAGUCACGCGACAUCUUAGCCGCAACUCUAUCGCAACGAUUGAUGGGCUGUGAAGAAAACUGUGGGAUGAAAUAUGUGGGACAAUUUAAAUAAAAAAGAACCAAUAUUUCCCCAUAUUUUAUCUUUGUUUGCAUCCUCUCUGCAUGCUGGGGCAGUGCAUUGAGCAGUUAACAGGUUUUGCAAUGUUUCCACCAAAAAUAGAACACCCGAACACCAAUUCUUCUAACUAUUCACUGUGAAACCAAUUAUCUAUUAUGAAUCUAUUAUGACACUUUGGGGGUUUUCUCAUCCGUCCUGAGCGAAAGAGAAAAUCCCCCAUAGAGGUAAAGUACGACGCAGAUAUUCCUUAUUAUGAUUGAUGAAUACCACUCAGGUUUCAUUUUGUUUUCACAGUCACGGGUGGACUCGGUUUGAGACCAUCAUUUCCG
ensembl:lncRNA